rnacentral:rRNA from 1 species
GGACCCGCACAAGUAGUGGAGCAUGUGGUUUAAUUCGAAGAUACGCGCAGAACCUUACCAACACUUGACAUGUUCGUCGCGACUCUAAGAGAUUAGAGUUUUCGGUUCGGCCGGACGAAACACAGGUGCUGCAUGGCUGUCGUCAGCUCGUGUCGUGAGAUGUUGGGUUAAGUCCCGCAACGAGCGCAACCCUCACUUUUAGUUGCCAUCAUUAAGUUGGGCACUCUGAAAGAACUGCCAGUGAUAAGCUGGAGGAAGGUGGGGAUGACGUCAAGUCCUCAUGGCCCUUACGUGUUGGGCUACACACGUGCUACAAUGGUAUCUACAACAGGAAGCAAAAUCCGCGAGGUUAAG